rnacentral:rRNA from 1 species
UACGAAGGGGGCUAGCGUUGUUCGGAUUUACUGGGCGUAAAGCGCACGUAGGCGGUUUGUUAAGUCAGGGGUGAAAUCCCGGAGCUCAACUCCGGAACUGCCCUUGAUACUGGCAAGCUAGAGUCCGGAAGAGGUAAGUGGAACUCCUAGUGUAGAGGUGGAAUUCGUAGAUAUUAGGAAGAACACCAGUGGCGAAGGCGGCUUACUGGUCCGGAACUGACGCUGAGGUGCGAAAGCGUGGGGAGCAAACAGG